rnacentral:rRNA from 1 species
AACGUAGGACGCAAGCGUUAUCCGGAGUUACUGGGCGUAAAGCGCGGGCAGGCGGCUCGAAACGUCUGAUGUGAAAUCCUCCUCGCUACACGGGGAGAGGCCAUUGGAAACGGUCGAGCUGGAGGGCAGUAGAGGUAGGCGGAAUUCCGGGUGGAGUGGUGAAAUGCGUAGAGAUCCGGAGGAACACCAGAGGCGAAGGCGGCCUACUGGGCUGCACCUGACGCUGAGCCGCGAAAGCCAGGGGAGCAAACGGG